rnacentral:lncRNA from 1 species
UGGAGAGCAGACACUAAUGAGGUUCUUGAUUGCAAGAUCAAUGGACCCACAAAAAGCUGCAAAGAUGUUUAGUCAGUGGCAAAAAUGGAGGGCAGAAAUGGUUCCAAUUGGGUACAUCUCCGAUUCUGAAGUUGUUGAUGAAUUAGAAGCUAAAAAAAUUUAUUUGCAGGGAUUAUCCAAAAAUGGGCACCCUGUUAUGAUUGUCAAAGUUACUGAUGAAUUAGAAGCUGAAAAAAUUUAUUUUCAGGGAUUAUCCAAAAUUGGGCACCCUGUUAUGAUUCUCAAAGCUAACAAGCAUUUUUCUUCCAAGGAUCAAGUUCAAUUCAAAAGUAAUUUCUUUUCUCCCUCAGAGUAAACGUUCUUCUUUAAAUAAAAAAAAAUUGCAUUACCUUUUUAGUUGUAUUGGGUAGUUAAUUAUUACUUAUUAUCUUUUUGUGUUUUUUAGAUAAGAAUAUUCUGGUUGGUUCACUCAAUGAUGCCUUUUUUAUUGUCCAAGUAAUGGGCUAUUGCACAUGUCUUUAGUUUAAACAAUCUUGUAGUUAGUUGUUAAUAUCUUGGACGUGACUUUUUGUCGUUUAAAGUGUGCUAGCGUUAGG